rnacentral:misc_RNA from 1 species
UUAAGUUCAGCGGGUAGUCCUACCUGAUUUGAGGCCAGAUCAUAAAAAGUGAUGUCCGAGGACGAUCGGGUUAGAAAGCAGACGUUUGCACUAGAGUCUUGGCCACCCCACGAGGGGAUGUCCUCAGCGAAAUACUUAUUACGCCAAGUAGAACCAAGUCUCACGACAUGUCCAGCUAAUCCUUUUAAGGUGAGCAGCAC